AUUAAGUGGAAGGUAUCGCUUCAAAAUCGCGGCCUUCCAGUGACUUCAUCGGGCGGCUACGGAUAGAAGAACCGAGAGAGCUUGGGAACUCCUUUCCUCGUAGCGAUAUCGAGAGCCCAAACUGCGAAGCAUUCUUGUUCGAGUCAACCCAGUUUUUGUACGUGCAUCUGGUGCCUGGCCUCUUUCGCGAUGCAGUCAGUAAAAAGAAGCAAACCACGGUUUGGAUAGUCAUCGUACAUGGCUUCUGUCACGAAAGAAAGCCAAAAGAAAGCAACCUGCCUCCAGCAACCAACAUGGCUCCAUGGCUUUUGUAUCGGCUAAGGCUGUGCAUUCGCGAACGGCAACACAGUUCAUUGACAGAGCAGAUAUUGCAGUCGGGCCCUCGGGGAUCAACAGGUCAACCCAGACGCUACCUGUUGCUACCUUUGUUACCAGGGUGAACAGCUGGACAGAUACCGAAGAUCUUGUCAACUUCCAAGACACUGGCUCUGAGCCACACGAAAAAGCAGACUGAAAAGGAGCACCCUACCUCUGGCAGCAGAUGCAGUCUUACUCCACUGCUGCCGAAGUAACACAAGCAGAGUCUGCAAGGCAGUGCAGAUGGACAGGGCUCAUGUGACAAAUGCACGGGGUACUUUUAUGAGGCAACUUUGAAGUUAACUCUGGAACAGUUGAACCUUCAAAAACCUCCUGCUGUAUGCAGUUUAAGGACCUGAUGUCUGCAAUGGUGCUACAUCAUAAAACAGCAGCGUUGACAAGAAAGGUGCAUCAUCAUGUUUCUUCAGCACAUAGAUGUUCUCUUUAGAGCUCUUUUAAUACUCACCUUGUGAAAUGUCAUAUCGACCUAACAAAUGUGAGAGCUCUAAUUUGGUGUGUGCGAGCACCUUGUGGCGUUUUAUUUUUGUGCUUGUGCUAGCAAUAUUUUGCAAUCUUAAACUGCAAUCGCACGUCUCAUAUUCAAUAGGUUGAGUGCUCUGUGUACAUGGUGAAAAGCUACAUUCUCUGACCUUCACUCGUGCCUUUUUGUUUUCAUCAUCUGCUGGCCAUGCACUCGAGAACAAUUUAGCUCUGACCCAACUGUGGUUUUCCGAUUCAAGUGCAAGGUAAAUGCAAUAUUGGACUUGGAAAGUGACACUAAAAAGAAAAAUAAUUUUAGCUGUAUUAUUAGAUCACCCCUUCACAAUACCAAGAACGACAGUCGUAUCGUGAAAAGACGGUUAUUAAGCCAGAAACAUGCAGGGACGAAAGAUGGGUUGUGAAGCCACAUUGAAGUUCCCUCACGAGCGUGUGCCAUGAGGUCAUGCAUUUUGAUGGAGUCUGCAUGGGCCUAGUUCAUUUUUUAUCGUAAAAGAUGUGCUACACUGUAUUCCUAAAGAGCCAAAGACUGAACUUGGCAAGCUUCAUGAACUUUUACUGAUUCACAACGGCCAGCAUGAAAAGAUACCUUCGAAUCUACUACAUCAGACAGGUACCGGCCCUGAAGUUAUGGUGCAAAAUUCGAGAAAUGUAACCUUGAUUUGUUUGUGCAAUAAUCAACCUCCUACCGUUAAAUAAUAAAAAAAAAUUCUACAGGAA
rnacentral:misc_RNA from 1 species